rnacentral:piRNA from 1 species
GUGACAUGAGCCAACCCAUAGGAACA